UUCGUGUCCCGGAGCAUCCCAAUGACUUGCAUCCAGGGUUUUGUUCUCCGUAAAUGCCGGAAUACGUUCGAAACCGCCACUCCAAGUUCGCGUCACUUGUUCGCGCCAUGUAGGAGGAUAGACCUCCGAAGACCUCGAGGGAGAUGGAGAGGAAGGGGAAGGGAGGCGGCGGCGGCACCGACGAGGUGUUUCGAGUGCGGGACACCGGGACAAUGGUCUCGCGACUGCCCUUCCUCCUCGGGAACCAUGCCGAUACUUGCAGCAGGAAUCACAUCAUACCACAAAAAUCCUGGCUGUCUGAAAUAAACCAUCUGCCUGGAUGAACAGACGAGUCAGCUCAGAAGAGGGAAGAGCACAAACAGAAGUUAACCGCUUGAAAGCAUUAGAAAGGGAUCAUUCCAGUUUAUCUGAAGCUUUCUUCUCUUCAGAUCCACCCUGAUCAUUGCAGCCUGGCAUGCAUGUACUUUACAUUGUUAUAUGGUCCAGACUUCAGGAUGAUUCUGUCAGUUAACGUUCAUGGAAAGUAGAUGCUCAUUCAUUGUUGUUCCAUCUCCCAGCUAUAUGUACAAACCUCUUUUUCUUUCCAGCACGCAACAUCCUUUGAGGAUUAAUUUUGCUUAUACCUCAUAUUAGCUGUGAUACGAAGAGAUGCUUCUGAUGAACAA